rnacentral:rRNA from 1 species
GGGGGAAUUUUUUACAAUGGGGGCAACCCUGAUCCAACCAUCACCGCGUGAGUGAAGAAGGCCUUCGGGUUGUAAAGCUCUUUCGGCCGGGAAGAAAUCGUAUGGGUUAGUACCCUGUGCGGAUGACGGUACCCGCAUAANAAGCACCAGCUAAUUAGGUGCCACCACCCACGGUAUUAUGUAGGGUGCGAGCGUUUUUAUGAAUUGCUGGGGGUAAANGGUGCGCAGGGGGUUUUGUAAAGCAGACGUGAAAUNGCCNGGCUCCACCNGGGAAAUGCGCUUUUGACUGCAAGGCUAGAGUAUGGCAGAGGGGGGUGGAAUUGCCCGUGUAGGCGUUGAAAGNGGUAAAGAUCUGGAGGAACUCCACNGCCGAAGGCAGUCCCCUGGG